rnacentral:rRNA from 1 species
UGCUCUUAUGAAGUUAGCGGCGGACGGGUGAGUAACACGUGGGUAACCUGCCCAUAAGACUGGGAUAACUCCGGGAAACCGGGGCUAAUACCGGAUAACAUUUUGAACCGCAUGUCUCGAAAUUGAAAGGCGGCUUCGGCUGUCACUUAUGGAUGGACCCGCGUCGCAUUAGCUAGUUGGUGAGGAAACGGCUCACCAAGGCAACGAUGCGUAGCCAACCUGAGAGGGUGAUCGGCCACACUGGGACUGAGACACAGCCCAAAACUUAAACGGGAGGCAGCAGUAGGGAAUCUUCCGCAAUGGACGAAAGUCUGACGGAGCAACGCCGCGUGAGUGAUGAAGGCUUUCGGGUCGUAAAACUCUGUUGUUAGGGAAGAACAAGUGCUAGUUGAAUAAGCUGGCACCUUGACGGUACCUAACCAGAAAGCCACGGCUAACUACGUGCCAGCAGCCGCGGUAAUACGUAGGUGGCAAGCGUUAUCCGGAAUUAUUGGGCGUAAAGCGCGCGCAGGUGGUUUCUUAAGUCUGAUGUGAAAGCCCACGGCUCAACCGUGGAGGGUCAUUGGAAACUGGGAGACUUGAGUGCAGAAGAGGAAAGUGGAAUUCCAUGUGUAGCGGUGAAAUGCGUAGAGAUAUGGAGGAACACCAGUGGCGAAGGCGACUUUCUGGUCUGUAACUGACACUGAGGCGCGAAAGCGGUGGGGAGCAAACAGGAUUAGAUACCCUGGUAGUCCACGCCGUAAACGAUGAGUGCUAAGUGUUAGAGGGUUUCCGCCUUUUAGUGCUGAAGUUAACGCAUUAAGCACUCCGCCUGGGGGAGUACGGCCGCAAGGCUGAAAACUCAAAGGAAUUGACGGGGGCCCGCACAAAGCGGUGGAGCAUGUGGUUUAAUUCGAAAGCAACGCGAAGAACCCUUACCAGGUCUUGACAUCCUCUGACAACCCUAGAGAUAGGGCUUCUCCUUCGGGAGCAGAUUGACAAGUGGUGCAUUGUUGUCGUCAGCUCGUGUCGUGAGAAGUUGGGUUAAGUCCCGCAACGAGCGCAACCCUUGAUCUUAGUUGCCAUCAUUUAGUUGGGCACCCUUAGGUGACUGCCGGUAACAAACCGGAGGAAGGUGGGGAUGACGCCAAA